rnacentral:lncRNA from 1 species
UUCGUAACUCCCAUAAUUUCUUCGUAGUGGCUCCGUUCCAUGCCUCAUUUCAUAGGGAAGCCCAAAGUGGCUCUAUUUCAUUCUAUUUCACUUAGUAUCACAUGCUUAGUACUAUUUGGGGAUGCCACGGGGAUCUCUAGACAGAUGGAUCCCCGUGGGGAAUACGCACGUACAAUAGUAGAGAGUAUAUUAAAAAUGUUUGACAUAUUUGGGACGGACACACCUUGGUGCUCUUGUUUACAAGAAUGUCACGUACGAUAAUGCCUUAGAUGGCAAAUAUCCACAACCGGACACCAAUCCAUCCGCCCAAAUCCCACAUGUUCAUAUAUAAACGCUUAGCUUUUAAAUGUGCUAUGACCAAGUGAUACCAUGGACACACGCGAUGAAGGUUACCAAGACACGUUUCUUCGGCUAUGGGGGAGUCGCAUUGCAAAGCUUAUCCACUGGAAGCCAACGGACCGCUCGUGCUCCAUUCAUAUCCACAUUGAUGUUCUCUUGGUCCACGGGACACACAUGAUUGGGACUAAGGUCAACAGGCCAAGGGUGAUGCUUGUUAGCCAGGUUCAACAAUAGGGUGCCACUCGACCACUGUGUCGAAGUCUCUGACCUUGCCAUCCGCCGGGGAUACUUUGUUGUGAGAUGAUCUACGGGAUGUUAGCCAACCUCGCCAUUGGGAGCUGGGGUUGUUAAACUUCCCUACUCCCUCACUUUGGCAAAGGCCAAGGAUUUUACCGUGAUUCUUCCCAUUGUAUGGGACGCAGUCCCUUGCUUCGGCUUUGUCAUUGACACGUUGGCGUGCCUAGUAUGCUUGCUCUAUAGGGAUACCCUGACGUUAUUCCUCAUGUGCAAAGAGGUUGCCGCAAUGAGUGAGCUUGCGAGCAAUUUGGCAUGCAGCCAUCUUUUUGUUGGAAAUGGUUAUUGGGGACGAGGAGACCAUCUGGUUGUCAUGCUCGCACGCCAUUCAUAUUUUGUGAAUCGCGUCGUAGUUCUACCGCACAUCGACGUGCCCAAGUAAUUGGCGUGAGAUGAUGGAUUACUUAAACUUUAUUAGAUCAUAGCAAGAUCCACAAGAUGAAUUUUAUUAUAAUAAAUUCAUGUAAUUAUAAAAUUCUUAUUCCAUUAAAAAUUCAUGUAAUUAAAAAUGUGUACUACACAUUUUUCAAGUAAUGGAAAAAAUGGUGGAUUCAUUUUUUAAAAUCAUACAGUUAUAUAAAUGUUUUUAUACAAUAAAAUAAAGAGGUCAGAAUAGUUUAGUGUAAUUCUCAUGUAAUAAAAUUGAUUAGAUGUACAUUUUUUAUUUUUCUAUAUCUAAGUUAUUGUAAUAAAAAAUGUCACUUACUUAUAAAUGUUUAUUACAUAUUCAAAAUGUUCAUGAACUACUUAUAAGAAAGUUUCUAUAUGGAAUAACAAAAGUGAAAACUGAUCAGAAAAAUGAAAAAUGAAAAUGUACAGAAACCUAAAAUAAAAUGGAAAGAAACAAAAAGAUACAAAAAACGGCAGACAUCCGGCACAUGGGCCGGCCCAGAAUGAUGGGUUAUGCCUCACAGCUUGACUAAAUGGUGUCUCCUCAACGAGACAAAAGAGGCCGACUUUCNNNNNNNNNNNNNNNNNNNNNNNNNNNNNNNNNNNNNNNNNNNNNNNNNNNNNNNNNNNNNNNNNNNNNNNNNNNNNNNNNNNNNNNNNNNNNNNNNNNNNNNNNNNNNNNNNNNNNNNNNNNNNNNNNNNNNNNNNNNNNNNNNNNNNNNNNNNNNNNNNNNNNNNNNNNNNNNNNNNNNNNNNNNNNNNNNNNNNNNNNNNNNNNNNNNNNNNNNNNNNNNNNNNNNNNNNNNNNNNNNNNNNNNNNNNNNNNNCCAAGCAUGGAAUAGGAUUUCGGGAUGCCUAAUGCACAUUCAUCAUAAAGAGGAAAAAAGACCUAACUAAGAUGAUAUGUUAGUAUUUGACUGCAACUCAGAUAGAAUUAGUAUUCAACCACACAUGACACACACACACUGGUUAAUUAGCUUUUCAUAUGAUAUGUUCUCGUCGAAUACAAAAUUUUGAGAGAAAUAGUAGGUGUACUGUUAUCAACAUUAUCAAAAGAUAACAUAAGCCUGUGAAUUGAUCAUAAUUUGAUAAAGCCAUCACUAUAUACAUGGAAUUUUUGGAUUCUGCCAUCUAUCAUUUCAGCUUCAGAGUGUACCAUUUUGUGCAUACACAAUAGUUUUGGCCAGGGAGAGGUAUAGAAUUUUAACCAAAGAGAAUGAGGAAUCAGAAAUCUCACGUGAGAAGCUCAUGAGCGUCUUCCUAUUUGCCCGGGCGAAAGCUACUUCCGAUGUCACGCAAAUGUGAGAGUAUUCCAGUAGGUCAUAAUUGAGACUGUCCUUGCUUACCCUCCACAAUGAGUUUUUCAAACACACACAAGAAGCACCAUUCCUUUUGGGAACCUAGAAAAUACAAUAGUAAUAUAUUGUAACUCAAGGGAAUGCGCUGAAUAACAUAAGAAAGAGUUUAGCAUUGAUUUAUCACUUUUUGAAUGAAUCCCCUUGAGAAGGUACGUUGUAAGUGGUCGGCUAAAGGCCAAGCACUGAAGGACAACAUCUGCGUAGCAACUGUAAAAAGAAAUAAAAUAAGAAGGUUGGGCAAAAACAACACCAUUGAACCGCUAAAUUCAGUUUCAACAAAUUGUUUACGCCAUAAACUAAAGUGCCCUAAUAUGUUUAAUUUUCAAUAAGUUUUAGGCAUGAGUUUGAUUUGUGAAUCCACAGAAGUGCCACCGGAGUAUUAUCUCAUUAAAGGAAACAAUUUUGAAAAUGACAGGUUUUAACAAUCUCAAAAUUGUAACCUAUAGGAUACACCUAACAUAAGCAAAAAAUGUCCAGCAUAUUUAGUUUCAAAAUAGCUAUUAUACAGUUUAAUUAAUUGUUUACCUAUUCCCAGGGUUAGAAACACCAAAAUGACCCAAUUCCACCUUGUCAAAGUUGUAGAGCAUACAAAAGUGUCGUUACCACAUUUCGAUAACCAUUAGGUUCAGCAUACAAAAGUGUAUGUUGGCGAUUAAAUGAGUCAUCAAGUUUUACUUACCGAUUUCGAUGGAUAAUGCCUCACAACUGUUCAAGCAAUUUCUUGUCUGAUCAGACUUUUUGUCCUUGGUAGAUUACCUCGCACCACAACUUGGAUCUCUAAUUUAACGAGAAUUCAAGAAGAUCAUCAGCCUUUGCAGAUCGAUCAGGCGCUUAGAAAAUGUUCAUGUAAUUAGAAAAUGUACAUGAAUUAAAAAUAUUCAUGUAGUAAAAUGCGAUGGCUAACACUUUAGUAAUACGUGUUCAAUCCGUUUAAAAACCAUAUAAUAAUAAAAGUGUUCAUUAUUUUUUCAAAAUGUUUAUGUAAUUUUAGAAAAAAUGUCAUUGAAAAUUUCAGGUGAAAAAAUGUCUGGCACAUAUUUUUAAAAAGCAUGUAAUUUUACUUAUGAAAAAUUUAAGUUCAAGGAGGAUUAGAAGUGCAAGGAAAAGUAGCUAAAAAUAGAGCAGCAAGUUAGGGAUAGAAAAUGCUCACUUUCGAUACUUAUUCUCUCCAUUGUAGUGGUUUAGGCAUCCCAAAUAUUUAUUACCUCAAUAUAUGUCUCCUUGGCUCGUGGGUGAAGGUAUAUAUGCAUGGGGAAGGCAAAAUUUGAGAUACUAUAAUUGAUGCAUGAUAUCAUGCUUCAUCUCCAAACAUUCUACGUUGUGAUAUAGUAGGCACAUCAACCGUCAACGGGGUACUGUGAAGAGAAAAAGCUGUGAAGUUUGCCUACAAAUGGUCCACUAGAGAUGGUUAUAAGGUGAGGAUGUGAGAAGACACCUAGUAUGGGUCUUUUCCUUCAUUUGUAUAAUACUAGACAUAUAUUGCAUAUGUAGAGAGUAUAUUAAAAAUGUUUGACAUAUUUGGUGCUCUUGUUUACAAGAAUGUCACGUAUGAUAAUGCCUUAGAUGGUAAAUAUCCACAACCCGUCACCAAUCCAUCCGCCCAAAUCCCGCAUGUUCGUAUAUAAACGCUGAGCUUUCAAAUGUGCUACGACCAAGUGACACCAUGGCCACACGCGAUGGAGGUGACCGAGACACGUUUCUUCGCCUAUGGGGGAGUCGCAUUGCAAAGCUUAUGCACUGGAAGCCAACUGACCGCUCAUGCUCCAUUCAUAUCCACAUUGAUGUUCUCAUGGUCCAUGGGACACACAGGAUCGAGACUAAGGUCAACAGGUCAAGGGUGAUGCCUGUUAGCCAGGUUCAACGAUAGGGUGCCACUCGACCAUUGUGUCGAAGUCUCCGACCUCGCCAUCCGUCGGGGCUACGUUUGUUGUGAGCUGAUCUACUGAAUGUUAGCCAACCUCGCCACCGGGAACUGGGGUUGUUAAAGUUCUCUACUCCCUCACUUCGGAAAAUGCUAAGGGUUUUACCAUGAUUCUUCCCAUAGUAUCGGGAUCCAGUCCCUUGCUUCGGCUUCGUCAUUGACCCGUUGGCGCGCCUGGUAUGCUUGGUCUAUAUGGAUACCAUGGCGUUAUUCCUCAUGUGCAAAGAGGUUGCCGCAAUGAGUGAGCUUGCCAGCAUUUUGGGAAGCAGCCUAAAGCUGCAUGGGGAGUUGUGCGCCAUAUUUUUGUUGGAAAUGACUAUUGGGGAUGAGGAGACCGUCUGGUUGUCAUGCUGGCACGCCUUUCAUAUAUUGUGAAUCGCGUCGUGGUUCCACCACGCAUCGACGUGCCCAAGUAACUGGCCUGAGAUGAUGGAUUACUUCAAGUUUAUUAGAUCAUAGCAAGAUCCACAAGAUGCAUUUUUUAUAAUAAAUUCAUAUAAUUUAUAAACUGCUUGAUUCAUUUUUAUAAAAUAUUCAUUUAAUUAUAAAAUUGUUCAUCCAUUAAAAAUUCAUGUAAUUAAAAAUGUGUACUACACAUUUUUCAAGUAAUGGAAAAAAAUGGUGGAUGCAUUUUUUAAAAUCAUAUAGUUACAUAAAUUAUUCUAUACAAUAAAAUAAAGUUUUCAGAAUGUUUUAGUGUAAUUCUCAUGUAAUUAAAAUUGUAUUAGAUGAACAUUUUUUAUUUUUCUAUAAAAAACAUGACUUACUUAUAAAAUGUUUAUUACAUACUCAAAAUGUUCAUGAAAUACUUAUAGAAAAGUUCACGUACAGAAGAAUAAAAGGGAAAACUGAUCAGAAAAAUGAAGAAGAUAAAAGUACAGUAACCUAAAAUAAAAUGGAAAGGAAUGAAAAGACAUACAUAAAACAGCAAACAUCCGGCACAUCGGCCGGCCCAGAAUGAUGGGUUAUGCAUGACAAGUUGACUAAAUGGUGUCUGUUCUAGAAACAAUUGACUGAACAGUGUCUCCUCAAUCUAGAAACAAAUCACUAAACAGUGUCUCCUCAACGAGAGAAAAGGGGCUGGCUUUCAAAAGGGGGGGGGGCAAAACGGUGCACCAAGCAUGGAAUAGGAUUUCGGGAAAUGCACAUUCAUCAAAAAGAAGAAAAAAAAGACUAAACUAAUUAAGAUGAUAUGUUAGUAUUCGAGUGCAACUCAAAUGGAAUUUGUAUUGAACCACAGAUGACACACACACUGGUUAAUUAGCUAUUGAUAUGAUAUGUUCUUGUCAAAUACAUAAUUUUGAGAGAAAUAGUAGGUGUACUGUUAUCAACAUUAUCAAAAGAGAAAAUAAGCCUAUAAAUUGAUCAUAAUUUGCUACAGCCAUCACUAUAUACAUGGAAUUUUUGGAUUGUGCCAUCUAUCAUUUUAGCUUCAAAGUGUACCAUAUUGUGCAUACACAAUAUUUUUGGCCAGGGAGAGGUAUAGAAUUUUAACCAAAGAGAAUGAGGAAUGAAAAAUCUCACCUGAGAAACUCAAGAGCGUCUUCCUAUUUGCCUGGGCCAAAGCUACCUCAGAUGUCACGCAAAUGUGAGAGUAAUCUAGUAGGUGAUAAUUGAGACUGUCCUUGCUUACCCUCCACAAUGAGUUUUUCAAACUCGCACAAGAAGCACUAUUCCUUUUGGGAACCUAGAAAAUACAAUAGUAAUAUACUGUAACUCAACAGAAUGCGCUGAAUAACAUAAGAAAGAGUUUAGCAUUAAUUCAUCAUUUUUUGAAUGAAUCCCCUUGAGAAGGUACGCCAUAAGUGCUCAGGUAAAGGCCAAGCACUGAAGGACAGCAUCUGCGUAGCAAGUGUAAAAAGAAAUAAAAUAAGGAAGUUGGGAAAAAACAACAGCAUUGAACUGCUAAACUCAGAUUCAAUAAAUUGUUUACGCCAUAAACCAAAGUGACCUAAUAUGUUUAAUUUUCAAUAAGUUUUAGGCAUGUUUUUGAUUUGUGAAUCCAUAGAACUGCUACUGGUGUAUUGUCUCGUUAAAGGAAACAAUUUUGAAAGUGACAAGUUUUAACAAUCUCAGAAUUAUAAGCUACAGGAUACACGUAACAAAAGGAAAACAAUCCAGCAUAUUUAGUUUCAAAAUAGCUAUUAAACAAUUUAAUUAAUUGUUUAUCUAUUCCCACGGUUAGAAAGACCAAAAGGAUGCAAUUCCACCUUGUCAAAGUUGUAGAGCUUGACGAAACAUUCAUACGGAAAAAGUGUCUUUGACACAUUUUGAUAACCAUUAUGUUCAACAUACAAAAGUAUAUGUUGGUGAUUAAAUGAUUCAUAAAGUUUACUUACCGAUUCCGAUGGAUAAUGCCUCACAAUUGUUCAAGCAAUUUCUUCUCUGACCAAACUUUUCGUAGUUGGUAGAUUAUCUCGCACCACAAGUCGGAUCUCUGAUUUAUCUAGACUUCAGGAAGAUCACUAACCUUUGCAGAUCGACCAAAAACUUCAAAAAUAUUCAUGUAACUAGAAAAUGUACAUUAAUUAAAAGUAUUCAUGUAGUAAACUAGGAUAUGGCCAACACAUUUUUAAUAAGUGUUCAAUCUGUUUAAAAACCAUAUAAUAAUGAUAAAAAUGUUCAAUACAUUUUUUCCAAAUGUUUAUGUAAUUUUUUAAAAAUGUCACUGAAAAUUUCAGGUAAAAAUUUUUUUGGCACAUAUUUUUAUUAAGCAUGUAAUUUUACUUGUCAUGAAAAAAAUUAAGAGUUGAAUGAGGACUAGAAGUGCAAGAAAAAGUAGCUAAAAAUAGAGCAGCAAGUUAGGGAUCGAAAAUGCUUACAUUGGAAGUUUAUUCUAUCUAUUGUAGUGGUUUAGGCAUCCCAAAUAUUUAUUACCUCAACAUAUGUCUCAUUAGCUCAUGGGCAAACAGAUAUAUGAAUGGAGAAGGCAAAAUUUUAGAUACUAUAAUUGAUGCAUAAUAUCAUGCUUCAUCUCCAAAUAGUUUACGUUGUGAUAUAUUAAGCACAUCAACCGUCAACGGGGUACUGUGAGGAGAAAAAGUUGUGAAGUUUGCCUGGAAAUGAUCCACUAGAGAUGGUUAUAAGGUGAGGAUUUGAGAAGACACCUGGUAUAGAUCUUUUCCUUCAUUUGUACAAUACUAGACAUAUAUUACAUAUGCAGAGAGCAUAUUAAAAAUGUUCGACAUAUUUGGGUCGGAAACACCUUGGUGCCCUUGUUUACAAGAAUGUCACGCACGAUAAUGCCUUAGAUGGUAAACAUCCACAACCCGACACAAAUCCAUCCGCCGAAAUCCCGCUUGUUCAUAUAUAAACGCGGAGCUUUUAAAUGUGCUAUGACCAAGUGACACCAUGGCCACACGUGAUGGAGGUGACCGAGACACGUUUCUUCGCCUAUGGGGGAGUCUCAUUGCAAAGCUUAUCCACUCGAAGCCAACUGACCGCUCAUGUUCCAUUCAUAUCCACGUUGAUGUUCUCCUGGUCCACAAGACAUGAUCGAGACUGAGGUCAACAGGCUAGAGUGGUGCCUUUUAGCCAGGUUCCAUGAUAGGGUGCCACUCAACCACUGUGUCGAAGUGCCCGACCUCGCCAUCCGUCUGGGCUACGUUGUUGUGAGCUGAUCUACGGGGUGUUAGCCAACCUUGCCACCGAGAACUGGGGUGUUGUUAAACUUCCCCAAUCCCUCACUUUGGCAAAUGCUAAGGGUUUGACCGCGAAUUUUCCCGUUGUAUGGGACACAGACCCGUUUGGCGCGCCUGGUAUGCUUGGUCUACAGGGAUGCCAAGGCGUUCUUCCUCGUGUGCAAAGAGGCUACCGCAACGAGUGAGCUUGCCAGCAUUUUGGCAUGCAACCUAAAGCGGCAUGGGGAGUUGUGCGCCAUCUUUUUGUUGGAAAUUGCUAUUGGGGAUGAGAAGACCGUCUGGCUUUCGUGCUCGCACGCCUUUCAUAUUGUGUGAAUCGCAUCGUGAUUCUUCCACGCAUCGACCUGCCCACCCCAAGUUAUUGGCAUGCGAUGAUGGAUUAUUUCAAGUUUAUUAGAUCAUAGCAAGAUCCAUAAGAUGAAUUUUUUAUAAUAAAUUCAUGUAUUUAAAAACUGCUUGAUGCAUUUUUAUAAAAAUUUCAUGUCAUUAUAAAAUUGUUCAUCCAUUAAAAAUUCAUGUAAUUAAAAAUGUGUUCUACACAUUUUUCAAGUAAUGGAAAAAAAUUCUUGGAUGCAUUUUUUGAAAUCAUACAGUUAUAUAUAUAUUUAUAUACAAUAAAAUAAAUUUGUUAGAAUGUUUUAGUGUAUUAGUUGAACAUUUUUUUAAUUUGUCUAUAUCUAACAUACUGUAAUAAAAAAUGUCACUUACUUAUAAAUGUUUAUUAAAUAUUAAAAAUGUUCAUGAAAUACUUAUAAAAAAGUUCAUUUAUGGAAGGAUAAAAGGGAAAACUAAUCAGAAAAAUGAAAAAGAUAAAAGUACAAAAAUCUAAAAUAAAAUGGAAAGAAACAAAAAUACAUACAAAAGGGCAGACAUUCGGCACAUGGGCCGGCCCGGAAUUUUUGGUUAUGCGUGACUGCUUGACUAAACGGUGUCUCUUCUAGAAACAAAUGACUAAAUAGUGUCUCCUCAAUCUAGAACAUAUCACUAAAGAGUGUCUCCUCAGAGAGAGAAAUGGGGCUGACGUUAAAAAAAGGGGGCUAAACGGUGCACCAAGCGUGGAAUAGGNNNNNNNNNNNNNNNNNNNNNNNNNNNNNNNNNNNNNNNNNNNNNNNNNNNNNNNNNNNNNNNNNNNNNNNNNNNNNNNNNNNNNNNNNNNNNNNNNNNNNNNNNNNNNNNNNNNNNNNNNNNNNNNNNNNNNNNNNNNNNNNNNNNNNNNNNNNNNNNNNNNNNNNNNNNNNNNNNNNNNNNNNNNNNNNNNNNNNNNNNNNNNNNNNNNNNNNNNNNNNNNNNNNNNNNNNNNNNNNNNNNNNNNNNNNNNNNNNNNNNNNNNNNNNNNNNNNNNNNNNNNNNNNNNNNNNNNNNNNNNNNNNNNNNNNNNNNNNNNNNNNNNNNNNNNNNNNNNNNNNNNNNNNNNNNNGGUGCUAUUCCAGUUUUGGAAGAAUGUUCUUUCCGCUCUUUCCUCAUUCUGUUGGUGUGCUUAUCAUCGGCGGAGGGCGUGUGGGGGCAUGUAUAUGGCGAUUGUUUUGGGAUCUAGGCAGUUUAGAUUUCUGAUGGAUCCUUCUGGAUUCGGCCAACUUUUAUUGUUUUUGUUCUUUCUACAAGUCCUUAUCCUUGUGUUGUUCUCCGGUACGGCGAUUUGCUUCUAGAUCACAACCACCGACGUCUCCUGGUCUGAAUCGACAACUUCCUAGCCGUUGCUUCUAGAAGCUCCUGGGUUGUAAAACAGUUGCACUGGUGAGCCAGACGCCUAGAGGCGGCAUCGAGCUAUGCUCAUGGCGCGCACCGCCGGUGGAUGCAGGAGAAGAAGACUUUGGCACCCCCGUAAGAUAUGAAUGUAAUUUUAUGUUUCCAUAUGGGUGUGUUUGUAAGGACAUGUGAUGCUUGAUAUAUGGGCCUUGGGCUCUUUCACACACACAAAACACAACAGAUACCUUCCAAAUGAUAUUAAACAAAAUCCAGUUCUAGAAAGAAUGGAAAAGUAAGGGAUUUCAGUCUGCUAAGACGUUGAAUAUCUCUCCCGCGUCUGAUCUUUGCAUCAUUUUGUUAUUCAAAACCAUGACACAAUUGACGUCAUCGCGUACGCAAUUGGACCCCGCCGACACACACUGGUUCGCCUCUCGACGGUAGACAAUAGACUCGUCGAAUCAAAGGGUGAUGCAGUACACCAGACAAUUUCAGUUGAAUUUGCUAAAAGUUAUCUCUUUAUAUAUGAAGUGCAGCUAAGAAAAAGAUAGCUUGCAGUUCCAUCGUUUCGAACGAACAAAUGUUAAUGUAGUCUAGUCACUCAUGUGCCUGAUGAAGCGUCAGUGCGUCACCGAUAUGAUGGAAUAAGUAAGUUAAUUAACGCCUCCUGCGCUGAGAGCUAAACUAGUUAGGUCAGCCUUGAUUUCUUCUCCUAAUAUGCGGCGAAGAGGAUGCAUAUAUAUAGAAACAGAAAUUUUAAUUUCAAGCCAACAAACAAUUUGACCAAAAAAUAAAAAAAAAUCCAUUCAUUUGCUUACUAGCUAGCGUGUCGAGUCCUCUCUAUACGUAUAUAGUACGUAGCAUCGACCAAGCACAGAGAUAAGAGAUGACACUUCUCUCUAUUAGCUAACUAACACAAUAUAUGAAACCUCUAAAUUAACCCUACAAAACCCCCCAAAACCACCACCCCCCUUCAGAAAAAAACAAAAAUCCUAACCCCUGAAAUGCUGACUCGUGGAAACUUAUUGGUCCCAGUUGGUGCUAUCAACCGGGAUAAAAGGGCCCCCUGCCUGGGCAAGCCGCAGCGGCCACGUGGAGGCCCAUCUGUCCCGGUUGGUGUAAGAACCGGGACUAAAGGUGUUGGGCUUUAGUACCGACCCUUUAGUCCCGGUUGCCGAACCGGGACAGAUGCGCCUUAUGAAUCGGGACAAAUGGGCAUUUUUCUACUAGUGAUGGCGCACCUCCGGUGGAUGCAGGAGAAGACGACUUUGGCACCCCCACAAGAUAUGAAUGUAAUUUUAUGUUUUCAUAUGGGUCUGUUUGUAAGGACAUGUGAUGCUUGAUAUAUGGGCUUUGGGCUCUUUCACACACACAAAACACAACACAUGCCUUCCAAAUGAUAUUAAACAAAAUCUAAUUCUAGAAAGAAUGGAAAAGUAAGGGAUUUCAGUCUGCUAAGAGGUUGAAUAUCUCUCCCGCAUCUGAUCUUUGCAUCAUUUUAUUAUUCAAAUCCAUGACACAAUUGACGCCAUCGCGUAUGCAAUUGGACCCCGUCGACACACACUAGUUCGCCUCUCGACGGUAGGCAAUGGACUCGUCAAAUGAAAGGGUGAUGCUGUACACCAGACAAUUUCAGUUUAAUUUGCUAAAAGUUAUCUCUUUAUAUAUGAAGUGCAGCUAAGAAAAAGAUAGCUUGCAGUUCCAUCGUUUCGAACGAACAAAUGUUAAUGUAGUCUAGUCACUCAUGUGCCUGAAAGCGUCAGUGCGUCACCGAUAUGAUGGAAUAAGUAAGUUAAUUAACGCCUCCUGCGCUGAGAGCUAAACUAGUUAGAUCAGCCUUGAUUUCUUCUCCUAAUAUGCGGCGAACUGGAUGCACAUAUAUAGAAACAGAAAUUUUAAUUUCAAGCCAACAAACCAUUUGACCAAAAAAUUAAAAAAAAAAUCCAUUCAUUUCUGCACUACAAAUAUCCCGUCCAGUCCGCUGUCCGCUCUCAUCUCAGUCCACAGGAGACGUUCUGCUCCAGCCACCAUGGCCCGCCUCGCCACCCUCGCCAUGCUCCUCCUCUCCCUCCUGUCCGUCGCAAGCUGCCGCGACCUUGAGGCCAUCUCCGACGACCAGGGCCCACCCGUCCCCGUCCUCCUCACUCGAGCUGAUCAAGCGGAUGCUGCUGCUGAGGUGACGACCCUUCCGAGCUUCCCGGCCCCGGUCGUCGCAUGGGACGAGGACGAGCUCCCAUCCCACCGCGGUCACCUCUGGUUGGCGCGCCCGCGCCAUCACGGCUUCUUCCACCGCCGCGGCGCGUUCUCCGGCCUGGGUGAGGCCCGCGUCCAACCUGCGGCCUUCUUCCCCACGGAGCCAGAUCGCGGAGAAGAGCAAGCACACUGGGAGGCGGUGCUGGAGGUGGUCGCGGAGCCUGAACCCGACACCCACACCCACGGCGAGCAGAAGCCGUUCCAUGCCGAGGAGGGUGAGGGGAACGAGGCAGUGAAGGCGUGGAAAGUGGAGAUGAUGGCGAGCAUGUUCGUCCACGGCGUCGGCCUCCACCACCGCCACCACCACGACCAGGAGGAGGAGGACGACGACGACCAUAGGCAGGACAAGGAUGAAGAAAUGGACACGAAGCUGCUCGGACGCCUCCACCUCCACGCCUACGACGGUGACCACGAGGCUGACGAACUGGGAGAACUGGCUAGGAGGCUGGGCCCGGCGACCACGAGCACGAGGAGCUUCAACCACGGCGACCGCCACCUUGGGACGGAGGAAGCAGGCGGGGUGAAGAAGUGGUUCAAGGGCCUCAUGAAUCGAUUCUAGACAUGCAUACAUACCGCCCAGGGCGGAUGGUUUAAUUACUCUGGUUGGUGUGUGCUCUGCACCUCCGCAUGACCGCAUCUGCGUGGCGUUGGGUGUUCUACCUUCGUAUUAUUCCACAUUACCACUUCGGUUUAUGUAUGCUCAUACAAUAUAUAUGUGCUGGUGUGCUACUGGUGACUUGUGAGGGUUGUGAAAUUGUACGAGUAGCAACGUUAUGUGUUUUUCAUAACUACAUAAUUACUUUGUCUUCUUAUGUACUCACUCCAUUUCAUACUUUUUGUUGUGCUUGUAGUUCAAAUUUGAACUAAAACCGCGGCAAGAAUUAUAGAACCCAGCGAGUAUAUUGCACACAUUAUUAUGCUCAUCACUCUUUAUUUCCCUGAUGUGAACAUAGUCUGCUC